rnacentral:rRNA from 1 species
AGAAACUAACAAGGAUUCCCCUAGUAACGGCGAGUGAAGCGGGAUGAGCUCAAAUUUAAAAUCUGGCGGUCUCAGAUCGUCCGAGUUGUAGUCUAGAGAAGCGUUUUCCGUGCUGGCCUGUGUACAAGUCCGUUGGAACACGGCGUCAUAGAGGGUGAGAAUCCCGUCCUUGACACAGAUCUCCAGUGCUUUGUGAUGCGCUCUCAAAGAGUCGAGUUGUUUGGGAAUGCAGCUCAAAAUGGGUGGUAAAUUCCAUCUAAAGCUAAAUAUUGGCGAGAAACCGAUAGCGAACAAGUACCGUGAGGGAAAGAUGAAAAGCACUUUGGAAAGAGAGUUAAACAGUACGUGAAAUUGUUGAAAGGGAAACGAUUGAAGUCAGUCAUGCUUUCCGAGACUCAGCCGGUUCUGCCGGUGUACUUCUCGGUUUGCAGGCCAGCAUCAGUUUUGGGCGGUGGAAAAGGUUGGCGGGAAUGUGGCAUCCUCGGAUGUGUUAUAGCCCGCUUUCGAAUACAUCGCCCGGGACUGAGGAACGCAGCACGCCUCUUGUAGGUCGGUCUUCGGACACGUCCGUGCU